GUCUCAGUUUAAGGACGACCGCUUCUGUGGAGCCUUGGCUGACCUCCCUCCAACCACAGUCUCCAAAACCAAACCGAAAAUCCAGCUGUGGGCACUUUUGGAUUCUCUAGCCCUGAACUGUCACCUGGUCCCUCAGGGCCCAGACUAGGCGACAGCACACAUUGAGUGAAGGAGACUUUUUGGGGGAGGUCAGUGCAGCGAGGAAGACAGUCAUGGGGGAGUGACUGCUUCCCAGGAGACCAAGCCAGUGUGACAAAGGCCACACUCAAAAUUUACAGCCCAGGCUGCUACUCUCAGGCUGUCAAUCCACCCCGCCCACCUUCCCCGAGGUCCUCCCUUGUUUGGAUUUACAACUUCAGUUGGAAGAAGGUUCUACAGUACUCGGUCUUCUUUGACCCUCCAACCACCUCAAGAAAACAGUGGGAUCAACUGUUGUGCUUCUGAAGAGACCCUCAUGGCCUGCUGUGUUCUCAUGUACAGAGGUUGACUGUGUCUAGAAACAGUACAUUAAAGGCAUGGCCACUUACAGUCACUCGUUUUCCAAGAGGGCGGCCUAGGUAACUCUUAGGCCGGGGCUUUCCAACGCCUUCACUUCACCCACAACACCAGUGAACCAUCAUAAUAUUUGUGAAGAUAUUCGCUCCUAAUGCUGAGCAGAUGCACAUCAUUAAUCACUUGAAAGAGAGCCCGACAGAAGAGAAGAGAAAUGUGCUGGCGGAAGGUGCCAGGAGAGCCCGUGGGGAUGCUCAAGACUUGGCAGACCUGAACUUCAGCGAGCUUGAUGCUGUCAGGAUACCUGGUGGUUUUGGGGUGGCCCAGAACUGCCCUGUCUUCAGUUCUAUAAAGGGCGCUUCCAGCCUUCCACUGUGCUAGGAAGCCCAUCAGCUGGUGCUGCAUUUCCCGGUGCUGGCAGCUGAAAGCUUCCUGCUUGUGAAGUCACAGUGGGUCAGGAAAAUAUUGUGGAUGGAGGGGAAGAAAAGGAUUGAAAAGCUUCCUGCCGGGUAAGCAACUUCUCCUGCGCGCCCUAUCUUCCUUUCUGCAGAUGAAUCAUUACCAUCUAACACGAGGCCGCUUCUCCAGAUGAAGCAGAGAUUGAAAUGUCACACCAGCAUGAUCAAUUAGAUGAUGUAGAAUAGAGGCAUUUGCUACCUGACCUUAAUCUACUGGGCAAGAAUGAAUGAAUGGUGAAGACUGAGUGCAGAGAGACUCAAAGAAUGCAUUGGUUGUUUCUAUUUGUGGAGUUCAAUGGUGAGACAUCAAUUUAUCAUAGCUGUGGAAAACUAACUGAAGGUCCAGAGAAAAGUCAUGGAAAUGAUGACGAACAAGGAAAAUGGAAUUCAACCAUGUAUCCUGGAGAGGUAAGGUUGGGAAUAACAUUUACCCUUGUCUGCAUCUUCUCUUCCUAGCACAGAUGCUCAAAUACAUGUGUGCUGAUCUGUUUGUGUACAACCAACUGUGGUCAUGAAAGCUACUGUAGAGGAUGUUUUCUGUUGAGACUCAGGCAUGAUCAAGAUGGUCACAUAGUAGGCAGCCUAUGUUUUACAAACAUUUAUUGGAUCCACUUGAGUUUAAUGUUAGUUUCAAUAUAGGCAUCAUGCUGGUAGUGAAGCUCAUUGAAAUUUGCAGUGUGUUCCCAAAGAACCCAGUGGCAUCUUCAUUUGAGGGCAUCAUUUAGAUUGGAUAGCUAAUUAUCUGUUUAGAAUAAAAGCAGAGGAAAAAUUCUGAGAAGUUCUUAAGGACUCACACAGUUCUCGAUUUCACUUGUGUGUUUGGCUUGUAAGCAGAGCACUAAGUUCAUAACCCAGGGGUAAAAAUAACACAUCUUAAGAUGACUGGGUAGAAAGAUUCUUCUCAUUUGAAAUCUUGAUUUUUCUCUCUAUUCACAGAGUAUGUGAUAGUCCUAGUUCUGCAGUAUCACAUUUCCUAAUAAAAGCCAUUAUCACAUAUAUUUCUGAGAGUGCCCAAUAUGUAUUGUAAACUUAUUGCCCUGAGGAGAAAAUUGAUUCUGAGGAAGAGGAGAUGGAAUAAAAAUUUGGCUUUUAAAAAAAGUAACUGCAUGGAGGACAUAUUUUUCCAGAACAAAUAGUGCCAAUAGGAAUUAAAAGUUUCAAGCUGGACUGUGAUUAAAAUUUUACUGUUGGACAAACUUUCUUUUCUUUUCUGGCUUAUGAGUACUGUAGUAGGCAUACUUGGUGUUCACCUCUCAGGUACCCACCCAGGAAUUUUAGAUGACACUGAUCCUGCUUAUACCUCCAUGUAUAUAAUCUGAUGGCUCUGAUUGGCUUAGUCUAAUCUGCAUAUCUCAGUCUCACUGUACAUAAAGGGAAGAGCAUAUAACUCAGCUACGCCAAUGAGCAUAUGGAGUCCGGAAGGAAGCUUCUUUUUCUCUGAAUGGCAUGGGAAGGAGAUGUAAGGACUGACACUACCACAGCCAUUUCACUACUUGGAGGGAGAGUCAAGAUGAAGCUGUCAAGAUGAAGCUGACCAGCAACCUGUUCUUUGGUUUCCUCAUCUUUAAAAUAGGGAUGAUACAGUACCUUCCUCUACGUUUGUUGUGAAAUUAAAUUUCUUAACUUACGUAAGAUGCUCAAAAUAGGAAGCACUCAAUAAAUGAUAGUUUUUAUUGGUUACUUUAACAAAAAGCAUCUUUCCCAUUGAGGCCAAUGUAAUAAUGGGGGGGGGGGGCUGAGCCAUCUAGUUAAUUGUAUUUAAUUCCUUAAAUUAUUUUUUCCCCUCUUAAGUGAGCUCUAUACUGAAGUGAUCUCUGCACAGAAUUGGUUUUGCCAGUAAUAAAUUGUCUAUGUUGGCAUUUAAAGAAUGAAACCAUGGAGUUCUCGUCGUGGCUCAGUGGUUAAGGAAUCCAACUAGGAACCAUGGGGUUGCGGGUUUGAUCCCUGGCCUUGCUCA